GGGGAAUCUUGGACAAUGGGGGAAACCCUGAUCCAGCCAUGCCGCGUGUGUGAAGAAGGCCUUCGGGUUGUAAAGCACUUUCAGCGGGGAGGAAGGCUUCUGGCUAAUACCCGGGAGUACUUGACGUUACCCGCAGAAGAAGCACCGGCUAAUUUCGUGCCAGCAGCCGCGGUAAUACGAAAGGUGCGAGCGUUAAUCGGAAUUACUGGGCGUAAAGCGCGCGUAGGCGGCUAUUUAAGUCGGAUGUGAAAUCCCCGGGCUCAACCUGGGAAUUGCAUCCGAUACUGGGUAGCUAGAGUGCGGUAGAGGGAGGUGGAAUUCCAGGUGUAGCGGUGAAAUGCGUAGAGAUCUGGAGGAACACCAGUGGCGAAGGCGGCCUCCUGGACUGACACUGACGCUGAGGUGCGAAAGCGUGGGGAUCAAAC
rnacentral:rRNA from 1 species